rnacentral:rRNA from 1 species
AGUGAACGCUGGCGGUAGGCCUAACACAUGCAAGUCGAACGGCAGCACAGUAAGAGCUUGCUCUUACGGGUGGCGAGUGGCGGACGGGUGAGGAAUACAUCGGAAUCUACUUUUUCGUGGGGGAUAACGUAGGGAAACUUACGCUAAUACCGCAUACGACCUACGGGUGAAAGCAGGGGAUCUUCGGACCUUGCGCGAUUGAAUGAGCCGAUGUCGGAUUAGCUAGUUGGCGUGGUAAAGGCCCACCAAGGCGACGAUCCGUAGCUGGUCUGAGAGGAUGAUCAGCCACACUGGAACUGAGACACGGUCCAGACUCCUACGGGAGGCAGCAGUGGGGAAUAUUGGACAAUGGGCGCAAGCCUGAUCCAGCCAUACCGCGUGGGUGAAGAAGGACUUCGGGUUGUAAAGCCCUUUUGUUGGGAAAGAAAAGCAGCAGGUUAAUACCCCGCUGUUCUGACGGUACCCAAAGAAUAAGCACCGGCUAACUUCGUG